rnacentral:misc_RNA from 1 species
GAUGAAGAACGUAGCGAAAUGCGAUAAGUAGUGUGAAUUGCAGAAUUCCGUGAAUCAUCGAAUCUUUGAACGCACAUUGCGCCUUCUGGUAUUCCGGAAGGCAUGCCUGUUCGAGAGUCAUUAACAACCGUUUCGAUCCCUUUCUUUCAGAAAUUACAAAGAGGAAAAGGGUUUGGUUAUGGUGGAGGAGGGAAAGGGAGCGUUUAGCCUGUAAAAAAAGAGGCUGUGUUCCGCCUCCCGCCCAAAAUUGUACAGGCGGUCGUGUGCGCCCACGCAUCGAGGUGUUGUAAAAGCUGCCACGGCACUUUUCACCUGUGCAGUGCGAGAUUGGCCAGCCGGUUUAAAAACCCCUCCAAACAAUCAAAGGUUGACCUCGGAUCAGGUAGGGAUACCCGCUGAACUUAAGCAUAUCAAUAAGCGGAGGA